AGAAACCUUACCAGCGUUUGACAUGGGAAGUACCGGUUACAGAAUGGUAACCUUCAGUUCGGCUGGCUUCUACACAGGUGCUGCAUGGCCGUCG
rnacentral:rRNA from 1 species